rnacentral:rRNA from 2 species
UACGUAGGUGGCGAGCGUUGUCCGGAUUUACUGGGCGUAAAGAGCGCGCAGGCGGUCGUGCAAGUCGCGUGUGAAAGCCCCCGGCUCAACUGGGGAGGGUCACGCGAUACUGCUCGACUCGAAGGCAGGAGAGGGAAGUGGAAUUCCCGGUGUAGUGGUGAAAUGCGUAGAUAUCGGGAGGAACACCAGUGGCGAAGGCGACUUCCUGGCCUGUUCUUGACGCUGAGGCGCGAAAGCUAGGGUAGCAAACGGG